AGGUGGUUAUAACGUUGGGGAUCCACCUCUUCCCAUUCCGAACAGAGAAGUUAAGCCCAACGGUGCCGAUGGUACUGCGUCACAGUGGGAGAGUAGGACGCCGCCG
rnacentral:rRNA from 1 species